UUAUUUGUAAGUGAGGUUUUAUUUUCCAUCCCGUCAUUGGAAUCCCUUCAUUUCUACAAUGAAGUUGGCUUUAAUAGUCCUUUCUGUACUGUCCUUCGUGGGGGUGUCCUUUAGUGUAAAGAAUCGAAUCUGCAGCGAAUUGCCAGUUUAUGAGGGAAAGUGUCCCAUUUUGCAGCGGGGCUUUACUUUUUCUUAUUUUACUAAAACCUGUGUUCCUACGGAAGGACAAUGUAAGGCCAGUGGGAAUUUCUUUAGGAAAAUUAAAGAUUGUGUGUCCAAAUGUGAAUAAUUAAAGAAAAUAAUGUAUAACUAUAUUUUUACAUUAUUAUUUGCCACAGGAAAAAGAUUAAAUAAUUUAAAUUUGUAGAUUUUUGUGCAAUUAAUGGAGAAAUAAUCUAAAAAAAUAAUUUCUGCUCAAUAAUGAGUGGUAAAAUGUAAAAAUUAUUGAGUGAAACAAUUAAUUAUUCAUUUAAAAUUAAAAUCUUUAAGGUAUUCCGCUCAAUAAUCGGUUAAAAAAUUGGCGCAGAUAUGGAUAUGGGUAGGGAUAUAUUGUUUAAUUUCUCAUUACGCCAAAAUAUUAAUUUAAACUGUUAAAUGACCAAAUCUAAUGAGAUUAUAUUUCAAAAAUUGUAUAAAAAAUAAUAGAAGUAAUAUGCCAAAUCGGAAAUAUUUAGUUAUGGAUAUUUAAUUUAUUAAAAAACCAUUUAUAAGUGAGGUUUUAUUUUCCAUUCCGUCAUUACUAAAAUGAAGUUGGCUUUAAUAUUCCUGUUUGUAUUGUCCCUUGUUGGGAUGUCCUUUGGUUUAAAGGAUCCAAUUUGCGAGAAAUUGCCAGCUUAUGAGGGGCGUUGUGCUAUGCUUGACCAUGGCUAUACUUAUUUUUCCCAUACCAAAAGAUGUGUUCCUACCCAUGGACCAUGUAGAGGCAUUGGGAAUUUCUUUAGAACAAAAGAAGAUUGUCUCGCAAAAUGUGCCUAAUUAAAGGAAAUAAUUGUUCUUCAAUAUUAUUAUUGAAAAAUCAUCUUAUACUAUACUAUAUAUAGUGAUCUGUGAAAGGUUUCAAUCCGAAACAAAAUCAAUUUCGUGUGAAUAAUGAAAUAAAAAGUAUCAUUUAAAUAA